AUUGAACGCUGGCGGCAUGCCUUACACAUGCAAGUCGAACGGCAGCACGGGAGCAAUCCUGGUGGCGAGUGGCGAACGGGUGAGUAAUACAUCGGAACGUGCCCAGUAGUGGGGGAUAACCCGGCGAAAGCCGGACUAAUACCGCAUACGACCUACGGGUGAAAGCGGGGGAUCGCAAGACCUCGCGCUAUCGGAGCGGCCGAUGUCAGAUUAGCUAGUUGGUGGGGUAAAGGCCUACCAAGGCGACGAUCUGUAGCUGGUCUGAGAGGACGACCAGCCACACUGGGACUGAGACACGGCCCAGACUCCUACGGGAGGCAGCAGUGGGGAAUGUUGGACAAUGGGCGCAAGCCUGAUCCAGCCAUGCCGCGUGCGGGAAGAAGGCCUUCGGGUUGUAAACCGCUUUUGUCAGGGAAGAAACGCUCCGGGCUAAUACCACGGAGUAAUGACGGUACCUGAAGAAUAAGCACCGGCUAACUACGUG
rnacentral:rRNA from 1 species